UUUUUAACUCUUUUUUCAACCUCAUAAGAGAAGUGAGAGAAAGGAAGAAAAGGGAGAGACAAGGGCGGUGACCGGAGGGCCACCACCGUCACACCACCACGACGGACACCGUCCGGUGUCUCUGUUUUGUGGGUUUCUUGGAACCUGCCUGAAAGAUUGUACGAUGGGAUGGUUCAUAUCCAGGCUAUUGAACAGAAGACAUGUCUCUUCUUUGCCUGUUUGCCGACGACCAACCACCCACUACCAGAGAACCGCUGCUACUCAACCGUCUGCGUGGGCGCGUGAAAGAUAGAAAAUUAAAUGGGCGGUGAUGAUAUAAGAAAAUCCUCUAUUUUCGUUGUUUUGGCGUGGCAAUCCGAUGAUUUGCAGCCACAAUGAGGUAGUAUAUCUGAGCCUUCGAACACACGUCUAAACAAACCAGAUGUGUUCAUAUUGAAAGUUUACUUUUGACGGGUGCCGGUGACUCUCAUCGGUUGAUCUAGAGACAGAAUGGGAGACUUGAGGGUGAUCUUGAACAACCGCAGCCUCAGAGACUUGAAUCGGUGUUCCGGCGAGAGUCCGUACAGGAAAGAGGAGCAGAGAAUAUGAGAGGGAUACGUCGAUUCAAGAUUGAUUUCUUCGAUUUUUAUACUACAGAUUCAAACACAAUGGAGACGAUUAGGAGAGCUUUGCACGCAGUUUCAUUAUACUCUAAUGAUCAGAGAUGUGGGAUACAUUAAGGAAAGGUCUAUUGAGCUUGGUCCGCAAGACUGCACGUCAUCUUUUACUUAAGGACAUGAUCGUGGGUACAUCGUGGAACAUAUUCAUGCCAGAGACAGUCGAGUCUCUUUUUUAUCUCUGAUAUUUGACUGAUAAGGCUAUAGGGUAUGGUUAUGUUCCUCAUGACCACCAUUACCCUUUACAUAGUGUAGGAAUUCUGAUUGUGUUAUCGCUGUACUAAUUUGCAUUGAAGUAUUAAGGAAUCGUAUCCGAAGUGACAAGUCCAAUUAAGAUAAUGAUAAUGCAGUCUGAUUGGAAGUCAUGAGGUCCGAUGACCAUGGUAAGGUACGUGAAUAGGAGGGUGUGGUGCAUGGUAUGGGGAGGAGUUGUAGUUCCUUCAGAUCAUUUUCCAUUGCUUAAGAGAGAAUUGAAAGGUGGCUUAAGGAGAGCUUUAGCUUCAGACUAUAUAUACACCUUUUAGGAUGCUAUAUGUAAUAUGCUUAUUCUGGAUUGUGUAAACAGAAGACUUUUUUUUGCUUUAUCUGUUAGUUUUUUUGACAUUCCUGCAUCAAAUUGCAUGUACAAACUUUGGAAGUUGAAUGACAUCUUUAUUAUAAAAGAAGUUCACUGCAAGUCUUGUCUAAACAGAAAUCACGAUCGUCAAUCAUUGCGGUUUGAUAACAAACCAAAUUAUUCAUACCUAAGAAGACUUUUCCGGUAGCUCAUCAUUCGAGAAGGUUUCUUAUUGAGUUUUGAACAUGGAUCGAUUGCGCGCCGCAAAGCGCGCGGGGUUUAAAACCUAGUUUUUUUAGAGUUAAUUGUCCGGAUAGUCAUUGUGGUUUC
rnacentral:lncRNA from 1 species